rnacentral:rRNA from 1 species
ACCUUCGGGCCUCUUGCCAUCGGAUGUGCCCAGAUGGGAUUAGCUAGUAGGUGGGGUAACGGCUCACCUAGGCGACGAUCCCUAGCUGGUCUGAGAGGAUGACCAGCCACACUGGAACUGAGACACGGUCCAGACUCCUACGGGAGGCAGCAGUGGGGAAUAUUGCACAAUGGGCGCAAGCCUGAUGCAGCCAUGCCGCGUGUAUGAAGAAGGCCUUCGGGUUGUAAAGUAC